GGCUGUGUGGCCUAAUGGAUAAGGUGUCUGACCUUCGAUCCGAAGGUUGCAGGUUUGAGUCCUGACCUGGCUA
rnacentral:tRNA from 1 species